GCUCGCUUCGGCAAGUGUACUAAAAUGGAAACGACACAGAGAAGAUUAGCAAGGCCCUUGCGCAAGGAAGACACACAAAUUUGUGAAGCACUCCAUAUUUUU